GAUGAACGCUGGCGGCGUGCCUAAUACAUGCAAGUCGAGCGAACAGAUAAGGAGCUUGCUCCUUUGACGUUAGCGGCGGACGGGUGAGUAACACGUGGGUAACCUACCUAUAAGACUGGGAUAACUUCGGGAAACCGGAGCUAAUACCGGAUAACAUUUGGAACCGCAUGGUUCUAAAGUGAAAGAUGGUUUUGCUAUCACUUAUAGAUGGACCCGCGCCGUAUUAGCUAGUUGGUAAGGUAACGGCUUACCAAGGCGACGAUACGUAGCCGACUUGAGAGGGUGAUCGGCCACACUGGAACUGAGACACGGUCCAGACUCCUACGGGAGGCAGCAGUAGGGAAUCUUCCGCAAUGGGCGAAAGCCUGACGGAGCAACGCCGCGUGAGUGAUGAAGGGGUUCGGCUCGUAAAACUCUGUUAUUAGGGAAGAACAAACGUGUAAGUAACUGUGCACGUCUUGACGGUACCUAAUCAGAAAGCCACGGCUAACUACGUG
rnacentral:rRNA from 1 species